rnacentral:rRNA from 1 species
UACAGAGACUGCAAGCGUUAUUCGGAUUCACUGGGCGUAAAGGGUGCGCAGGCGGCCAAGUGUGUGAGGCGUGAAAGCCCGGGGCUUAACCCCGGAAUUGCACCUCAAACUACAUGGCUAGAGCAUUGGAGAGGGUAGCGGAAUUCACGGUGUAGCAGUGAAAUGCGUAGAUAUCAAGCGGAACACCAGUGGCGAAGGCGAGUCCCUGGACAACACCUGACACUGAGGCACGAAAGCUAGGGGAGCAAACAGG